AUGAUCUUGCACAGUAUCGAUCCUGUGUUAGGGUGAGCAGCACUCCCUCACCUCUGAGCUACCUGUGCCAUGCAACAGGAAGGUUGGAUAAUUGAUCACAGCCUGAAGAUCAAGCUGUGGUGGGAUGGAAAACUUGGCAGAGGGCAAGGAUCAUGUGUGAGAACAGCUUGUUCCAAUAGCUGCCCUUGAUUACAGGGCACACAGGUGUAGCACAGGUUUGCUUAAAUAUAUCCUGGUGUGCAACCAAGCAGGAGCUUUUGGUGGCUGGUUCUUCAGGCUGGUGGGUACAGAGUACCCCAGAAAGAGUUGACAUCGUGCAAGGAAGGACUUGAUGCCUUCAAAAUGCAGACUGUAAUGAAAACACUUCCUUAGGCAAGAAAAAAGCUUCAAAGAUGAUGUGACAGCUUGGAGCAAAACAAGUGGGGAUCCCAAGCCUGCAGACCUGAAGAGCAUCGUGCGUUGAGUUUGAGGUGUAGAGACCUGCUGCUGCUCCUGACCUUCUGCAGGCUGGUGCUGGCUGACCUGCCCACUGCUGCGCUCUGCAGGGACAACGCUGGUGUCCUCACUGCUCCUCUGCUCCAGGACUGAACAGCCAAAGCCCAGCUCACCUUAUCAGAGCCAUCGUUUGUGAAGUGAUUUCCUCAAAAAAAGCCUGAUUGUGAGUGGAAAACUUCCUGCACGUAAUGGGAAGGUGCCUGAGCAUUUUACUGACCUGAGAUUGCAUCCAGAUGCUUUUGCAAGGAUCCAGGCUAAAAGGCUUUCCUUCUGUCUUUUCCAAUGAGACUUCAGUUCCGAGGCUUAUGUCAUAUAUACAUGUAACCUGCAGCACCCUUCCUUACCAUGAAUGCAGAUCAACAGACCUUGGUUGUUGUGGGCUGUACAGCAAGGGGCACGUCCCACAGGCCGGUCCCUGCCAACGUUCUUCUCUGCACAGCACCAAAAGGAAAAGAACUGUGCAUGAAGUUCUCUGAAACAUCUCCAGCUUUGCCUUCCAAAGAUUCACAAGAGAUUCAGGCACAGUGACAGUGAAAAAUAUUGAUGUAUCGACAGCCUGGGAGCCCGCUUGCUCCGUUGCCCAAAGCGUGAGAGAUCCCAACAGGAUCCCACAGCAGCUCCCCUCCUCGCAGUCCAGGACUGGUUUCAAGUCUGCAGAUGCUGAAGGUAAGUCUUGCUCUGAGCUUUACUGCCUGGCGCCAGCGCUUGCACUGCUCUGCUACUUCCUGUCACCCAGACCA